GCCCGCUUGGCUAAGUGGUAUAGCGUGUCACUAGUAAUGACAAGAUCAGCGGUUCGAUUCCGCUAGUGGGCA